AACGAACGCUGGCGGCAUGCCUAACACAUGCAAGUCGAACGAACCCUUCGGGGUGAGUGGCGCACGGGUGCGUAACACGUGGGAACCUGCCCUUAGGUUCGGAAUAACAGUUAGAAAUGACUGCUAAUACCGGAUAAUGUCUUCGGACCAAAGAUUUAUCGCCUUUGGAUGGGCCCGCGUAGGAUUAGCUAGUUGGUGAGGUAAAGGCUCACCAAGGCGACGAUCCUUAGCUGGUCUUAGAGGAUGAUCAGCCACACUGGGACUGAGACACGGCCCAGACUCCUACGGGAGGCAGCAGUGGGGAAUAUUGGACAAUGGGCGAAAGCCUGAUCCAGCAAUGCCGCGUGAGUGAUGAAGGCCUUAGGGUUGUAAAGCUCUUUUACCUGGGAUGAUAAUGACAGUACCAGGAGAAUAAGCCCCGGCUAACUCCGUGCCAGCAGCCGCCGUAAUAC
rnacentral:rRNA from 1 species